AACGAACACUGGCGGCAUGCCUAACACAUGCAAGUCGAACGAGACCUUCGGGUCUAGUGGCGCACGGGUGCGUAACGCGUGGGAACCUGCCCUUAGGUUCGGAAUAACUCCCCGAAAGGGGUGCUAAUACCGGAUAAUGUCUUCGGGCCAAAGAUUUAUCGCCUUUGGAUGGGCCCGCGUUGGAUUAGCUAGUUGGUAGGGUAAAAGCCUACCAAGGCGACGAUCCAUAGCUGGUCUGAGAGGAUGAUCAGCCACACUGGGACUGAGACACGGCCCAGACUCCUACGGGAGGCAGCAGUGGGGAAUAUUGGACAAUGGGCGAAAGCCUGAUCCAGCAAUGCCGCGUGAGUGAUGAAGGCCUUAGGGUUGUAAAGCUCUUUUACCCGGGAUGAUAAUGACAGUACCGGGAGAAUAAGCUCCGGCUAACUCCGUG
rnacentral:rRNA from 1 species